rnacentral:rRNA from 2 species
GUCUUUUUGAAAUUUAAUAGAAAGUCUGACCUGCCCAGUGAUUAAUUUAACGGCCGCGGUAUACUGACCGUGCAAAGGUAGCAUAAUCAUUAGUCUUUUAAAAGAGGGCUGGAAUGAAAGGUUUGACGAAGUAUUAACUGUCUCAUCUUAUUUGAAAUUAAAACUUAACUUUUUAGUCAAAAGGCUCAAAUUUUAUUGGAAGACGAGAAGACCCUAUAGAGCUUUAUAUUAUUUAUUUUGAUUAAUUAUAUAUAAUUUUUAGUUAAAGUAUAUAUUAUUUUGUUGGGGUGACAAGAAAAUAAAAUUAACUUUUUUAACUACUUAACAUUAAUAUAUGAUUAUUUGAUCCAUUAUUAUUGAUUAUUAGAUUAAGUUACCUUAGGGAUAACAGCGUAAUCCUCCCCCAGAGUUCAUAUUUACGGGUAGGGCUUGCGACCUCGAUGUUGGAUUAAGAUAAUAAUUAGGUGUAGCCGCUUAUUUUAUAGGUCUGUUCGACCUUUAAAUUCUU